UCCGUAGGUGAACCUGCGGAGGGAUCAUUACCGAGUUAGGGUCUCACCGGCCCGAUCUCCCAACCCUUUGUCUACUUGACCAUCGUUGCUUCGGCGAGCCCGUCCUCACGGACCGCCGGGGGGUCUUCGCACCCCUUGGCCCGCGCUCGUCGACAGCCCCCAAAUUUAAAAAAAUCUUAACUAAACGUGUCUUGAAUCUAAGUAUUAUUGUUAAAUAAAAACAAAACUUUCAACAACGGAUCUCUUGGUUCUGGCAUCGAUGAAGAACGCAGCGAAAUGCGAUAAGUAAUGCGAAUUGCAGAAUUCCAGUGAGUCAUCGAAUCUUUGAACGCACAUUGCGCCCUUUGGUAUUCCGAAGGGCAUGCCUGUUCGAGCGUCAUUAUCACCCCUCAAGCCCUCGGCUUGGUGUUGGACGGUUUGGUGGAGACCCCCUUCGCGGGCUUCUACCCCUCCCAAAGACAAUGACGGCGGCCUCGUUGGACCCCCGGUACACUGAGUUCUUCACGGGACACGUAUCGGACACACGGGUUUACGGGACACGGUCUGCCUCCCCUCAGGGAGAAUCUUCUUAUCAAGGGUUGGACCUCGGGGGAUCAGGGGGUAGGG
rnacentral:rRNA from 1 species